rnacentral:rRNA from 1 species
GAUGAACGCUAGCUACAGGCUUAACACAUGCAAGUCGAGGGGCAGCAUUUUUAUAGCAAUAUAAAAGAUGGCGACCGGCGCACGGGUGAGUAACGCGUGAGUAACCUGCCUUCAAGAGGGGAAUAACGUUCUGAAAAGAACGCUAAUACCGCAUAACAUACGGAUGUCGCAUGGCAACCGUAUCAAAGAUUUUAUCGCUUGAAGAUGGACUCGCGUCCGAUUAGCCAGUUGGCGGGUAACGGCCACCAAAGCGACGAUCGGUAGCCGGACUGAGAGGUUGAACGGCCACAUUGGGACUGAGACACGGCCCAGACUCCUACGGGAGGCAGCAGUGGGGGAUAUUGCGCAAUGGGGGCAACCCUGACGCAGGC